GGAAGUCCCGCCCCACGCAGUAGCGUGAGGUGGAGGGUUGCGUCGAGGUGCCGCGCGCGGGCGCGAAGAGAAUUAAGCGGUUGACGCUUUCUGGGAGGGCUGCUGUACGCCCGUUCUGGAGGCUGGAAGUCCGAAAUAAAGGUGUCAGUAGGAUCAUGUUUCCUCUGAGACUAGAUUCUUUUCCACUGUAGGGUAUUACAAGAUAUUGAAUAUAGUUCUCUGUGCUAUACAGUAGGUCCUUGUUGUUUACCUAUUUUAUAUAUAGUAGUAGUGUGUAUCUGUUAAUCCCAACCUCCUAAUGUAUCCUUCCC